rnacentral:rRNA from 1 species
UGAACGCUAGCGGCAGGCCUAACACAUGCAAGUCGAGGGGUAACAGGGAGCUUGCUUCGCUGACGACCGGCGCACGGGUGCGUAACGCGUAUACAAUCUACCUUUUGCUACGGGAUAGCCUUUGGAAACGAAGAUUAAUACCGUAUAGUAUAUAGAUUUCUCAUGAGAUUUAUAUUAAAGGUUACGGCAGAAGAUGAGUAUGCGUCCUAUUAGCUAGAUGGUGUGGUAACGGCACACCAUGGCUACGAUAGGUAGGGGCCCUGAGAGGGGGAUCCCCCACACUGGUACUGAGACACGGACCAGACUCCUACGGGAGGCAGCAGUGAGGAAUAUUGGACAAUGGAGGCAACUCUGAUCCAGCCAUGCCGCGUGCAGGAAGACUGCCCUAUGGGUUGUAAACUGCUUUUAUACGGGAAGAAACACUGCUACGUGUAGCAGCUUGACGGUACCGUAAGAAUAAGGAUCGGCUAACUCC